rnacentral:rRNA from 1 species
AUUGAACGCUGGCGGCAUGCCUUACACAUGCAAGUCGAACGGUAACAGGUCUUCGGAUGCUGACGAGUGGCGAACGGGUGAGUAAUACAUCGGAACGUGCCCGAUCGUGGGGGAUAACGAGGCGAAAGCUUUGCUAAUACCGCAUACGAUCUACGGAUGAAAGCGGGGGAUCUUCGGACCUCGCGCGGACGGAGCGGCCGAUGGCAGAUUAGGUAGUUGGUGGGAUAAAAGCUUACCAAGCCGACGAUCUGUAGCUGGUCUGAGAGGAUGAUCAGCCACACUGGGACUGAGACACGGCCCAGACUCCUACGGGAGGCAGCAGUGGGGAAUUUUGGACAAUGGGCGAAAGCCUGAUCCAGCCAUGCCGCGUGCAGGAUGAAGGCCUUCGGGUUGUAAACUGCUUUUGUACGGAACGAAAAGCCUCUUUCUGAUAAAGAGGGGUCAUGACGGUACCGUAAGAAUAAGCACCGGCUAACUACGUG